GCGGAGCCCGGCGCCCGGAAACCGCGUGUGGGACUGAGACUCGGAUCUGCUUUUUCUGGGAGGAAGCAGGGGGCCGCCUGAAGCUACCCUCCGCUUGACUUCGGGGCCCAGCACCUUCCUCCGACCCUCAGCCCCAUCAUCCCCCUGUCCCCACAGGCUUGGGCCUGGCUGGGCCCGGGUUCGAGGGCUCCACAGGCGCUUCCCGGCCCUCCCCUCCUUGCUCCUGCCCCCAUCGACUCCUUUCUCUCCAGGGACUGGUGGGUCUCCUUGCUAGAGCAAACCGAGGCCCUUCUGGUACAAAAUGGCAUUGAGGCACAAGAUGGAGUCGGGUUGGUUAUCACAUUGGAACCUCGACCUGCCCAUGGCCAUUGUGCCCUUCAAGUCUUCCCUGCCAGUCCUCGACUAUCCAGUGCCCCUCCUGCAACAUUCUCCCCCUUCUUCAGUAAGCAGGGGACACAUUCUAAGAAAAGUGUCGUUAAGUGAUGUGGUGGUUGUGUGAACAGAUCACAAAUCACAGAAUGCAGUUAACACAAACUAGACAGCUAUGAUGUCACAAGUCUGUAUCUUAUGGGACCAUUACCCACCAAACCACAUUAUUCAAGGCAUCAUGAUACCGCCUUUUUUCUUUGCCACUGGUGCCUUCUUACUAACCUUUUCCAAGUGGUCUACCCCAUCUUCAUGAGAACAACUACCACUUUACUCUGAGGAAUUUCUAAAACCUGCCUGUCUGGUAGCCCUUGUCCAAGGUCCCUUCCUUUCCCUUGCACACUAAGCCAUCCUGGUAAAGCCUUUUGGAGUCUGGCCUUAUCAGAUUCAAAUUACACAUGGUUUCCUCAACUGUAAAGUGAAGAUAAAAAUAGUCUUAGUCUUAAAAAGGUUUUAUAAAAAUUGAAUGAGAGGCCGGGUGUGGUGGCGCAUGCCUGUUAUCCCAGCACUCAGGAGGCUGAGGCAGGAGGAGCGCUGUGAGUUCGAGACCAGCCUGGGCUACAUAGUGAGUUCCAAUUCAGUCUCAACUACACAGUGAGACCCUGUCUCAACCCCCCCCCACAAACAGUUGAAUGAGAGGAUGCUUGUAAGGUGCUUAACAUAGCACUAGCACAUAGUAGGUAGUGAUGAGUUGUGAAACAAUAAAAAAAUUUAAACUUCUUAUUUUGAAAUAUCUGUGUUCAUAGGAAGUUUCAAGAAUAGUAUAAAAAGAGCAUACACAUCCUUUAUCCAAUUUCUUUCAGUGGUAACAUCUUGCUAACUGUAGAAGGUAAACAGUUGAAUGAGAGGAUGCUUGUAAGGUGAUUAACAUAGCACUAGCACAUAGUAGGUAGUGAUGAGUUGUGAAACAAUAAAAAAAUUUAAACCUCUUAUUUUGAAAUAUCUGUGUUCAUAGGAAGUUUCAAGAAUAGUAUAGAAAGAGCAUACACAUCCUUUAUCCAAUUUCUUUCAGUGGUAACAUCUUGCUAACUGUAGAAGGUAAAAAAACGAGGACAUUGACAGUAUGUCAAAGUCUUCCUUAGACUUUGUUCAAAUGGCUCGAGUUCCACAUUCGUGCAUAGGUGUGUAUAUGCACUUGGGGUCCUAUGCAACUUUAUCACUGUGCAAAUGAGUGUAACCACCAGUUAAGGGACAUGGCUGUCCCAUCACCACAAAGCCCUAAAGAAAAUAUCUGACUCCAUUUGUCUUCCUUCCUGCUCAACUCCCACUUUUUUUCUUAAUUAGUACCUACAUGUUUACAGUGCAUAAUGAUUAUACUCAUUGUGGGGGGCUGAUGUGGGUACGCAACAUAUCCUCUUUUUUUUUUGGUACUGGGGAUCAAACUCCGGACCUUGUGCUUGCCAGGCAGGUGGCAGCACCACUGAGUCAAAUCCCUGGCCCCAUUCUAACAUAAUCUUGAAUCUUUCUUUCAUCACUUUCCUCCUUUCCCUCCCUCUGCCCUCCAGCUCUUGGUCUUCUUCCCUUUUGCAAAAGAUCUCUCUGUUUCCUAUAAUCUAUCUUUUAUUUUGCUCUUUAAUUUAUUUAUACUUUGGGUUUCUCAUAUAAGAGAAAUCGUGCAAUGUUUACACUUGUGUGUCUAAUUUGUUUCACUUAGGGUUAUCGUUUCAAUGUGCA
rnacentral:lncRNA from 1 species